rnacentral:misc_RNA from 1 species
GAUGAAGAACGUAGCGAAAUGCGAUAAGUAAUGUGAAUUGCAGAAUUCAGUGAAUCAUCGAAUCUUUGAACGCACAUUGCGCCCGCCAGUAUUCUGGCGGGCAUGCCUGUUCGAGCGUCAUUUCAACCAUCAAGCCCCCGGCUUGUGUUGGGGACCUGCGGCUGCCGCAGGCCCUGAAAACCAGUGGCGGGCUCGCUAGUCACUCCGAGCGUAGUAAUACAUCUCGCUCAGGGCGUGCUGCGGGUUCCGGCCGUGAAACCCCCCACUGUAACCCCAAAGGUUGACCUCGGAUCAGGUAGGAAUACCCGCUGAACUUAAGCAUAUCAAUAAGCGGAGGA